AAAGCCGGUCAGACAACCGCCGCCAUGAAAGUGGGGGAGGAAAGUCCGGGCUCCAAAGAGCAGGAUGCUGGCUAACGGCCAGACGCAGCAACUGCCCUGUUGCAAGACAUGGCAGCCAAGGCGAGGAAUAGGGCCACAGAGACGAGCGUAUUGAGUUACGGUGAAACGCGGUAACCUCCAUCCGGAGCAACACCAAAUAGGCAGGCGAUGAAGCGGCUCGCUGAGUCUGCGGGUAGGUGGCUGGAGCCGGUC
rnacentral:RNase_P_RNA from 1 species